GCAAAUAGUUUUGACAAGUUUAAACCUGACUUUCUCAAACUAGUCUCACACUUGUUUGCAGGCAGCUCCAAAGUUUGGCUUCGUCACCUCAUGUGGUCCCUCGCGAGAUGAUGCAACAUUCAGGCUAAGCUAAAUGGGUGGGACGAGUGUGCGGGUACCGGCGCAAACAUUGCAAGCCUGUCUCCAACUUGUCAGGCUUCAGCACCUUCCGAUGUGGUCGUCGACAAUGCGACAUGCGAUUAAAUAUUAUUGGAAUUUGCUGAUGACGGUCACCAUAACCAGCUUGAGUGCGUCGACCAAUGUGCCGUGAUCUCCCUGGAGAAGGCAAAAACCUGCAGAAAAACAAGGAGACGUUUGAGGGCCAAACUGAACACUCCAAGAUGGACCAGUCAACUGCUAAUUUGGGUUUAUUUUCAAGUCAACAGAAUUGAGGACCACCUGCAGUGAUGUAGAACAGUCUUUGUCCAGCAGGUGCAGGAUCCAGAGGAAGAAAAUGAAAAGAAAUGUUUAAAUUUGCAUUUUUCUCUCCUCCAGAGUGUGUGUUCCCCCCGUCUCCAGAACCAGCAUGACCUUGUGACGUUUCUGAAGAAGCCAAAAAGAAAAUCUUGCACUCAAACCCAGCGAGGUCCAGUUCCUUCCCGCAGCAUCUCGGUCCUCAGGCGGCGCCGCAUAAAGUCGAGGUCGUCGUAACUGCACACAAAAGCGGGACGUCGAGAACUUUUCGCAUCCUCACCGCUGGACGUCAAUGCGGUUUCGGGUGUUCCCACAGGAACGUGAAAGUGACGCAAGCCGGGCUGACCCGGACCAGAAAAAGAAAGAAAAACAUCAUGAGCAACGGGGAUACUCGCUCGAUUGGCUGGCGGGGUGGUCUAUGACUUUGUCUGUGGUCUGGAGCAGUCUGGGUUCGAAACCCCGGUUGUCUCAAUUGGCGCAAUUUCAAGAAACAGGCCCUCGAGAAGGAAUCGAACCCGGGUCACCCGUGGCAAAGGUGGGAGUCGAACCCAGAGCCACCUCCUGCGCGGCAGCUCCGUAGUCCACUUCACACGAAGUCGACGUAGAACCUCCAAACAGCUCUUGGAGUCAACCCCUGGCUGCAGUCGCUACUUUUGUCCACGGGGUGGCAGUAUGUCACCGUGUGUCGCACUUUCAUCCGUUUGGCCUCAACUUUCACGACUUGCUUUCCACACUCCAGCAUUUAUUUCUGCUGCGCAAUUUAUCAUUGCUUAAAACAACAACACGUGGGCUUUGUUUACACAGCGAAUGACAAUCGCCUUGAAAAAUUGCCAUGACCAAUAAAGCAACUCAAACAAGCAGUUCUGACAUUCAUUCAUUUUUUUUUUUAAGACUUAAUUUUUUUUUUAUUUUCUCACGAGUAUUGGCAAGAAUAUUUUUAUCGUCACAUUGAAGUAUCCAUAGUUUCAAUCAAUUUUCAAAAUAAAGAAUUUUCUUGCUUUAUUUUCACAUUACUCAUGGA